rnacentral:rRNA from 1 species
GACGGGGGGGGCAAGCGUUGUUCGGAAUUACUGGGCGUAAAGGGCUCGUAGGUGGCCAACUAAGUCAGACGUGAAAUCCCUCGGCUUAACCGGGGAACUGCGUCUGAUACUGGAUGGCUUGAGUUUGGGAGAGGGACGCGGAAUUCCAGGUGUAGCGGUGAAAUGCGUAGAUAUCUGGAGGAACACCGGUGGCGAAGGCGGCGUCCUGGACCAACACUGACACUGAGGAGCGAAAGCCAGGUGAGCAAACGGG